AUGGUCUAUGCAGCCUGCUCUGUCAGCACGUCUGGCAGGGCAUGCACAGAUGGUGCCAGUUGGAGAAAAUCACUGCUGAACGCUGCACUGCAGCCUCGCCUUGGCUGUGCUGCCUCUGGAGGAGGAGCCGAGACGGGGUUGUUUACAGACGUGUUCCUGCCUGGAGCUGUGGGACAGACCUGUGAGGAUGCCAGUCCAGGGUGGCCCCCACUCCUACGGACACAGCUCUUUCACCUAUACGGAUUUGCAUUUGUUCUUCCAGGAGUGUCUAACUGGAUGUCCUCUGCAAAUUCAUCAAAUGUGCCAUCUUUUCCAUCAUGUGGUCAUCCCUGGGAUCAUCAUCGAACAUCGUUCUCCACCACUCUGGUCCAUGGAUGGUUGUUCUCUUUUGUCCAUUCCAUCAAAUGUCCUGAACACUGUCAGAAGAGGGAAAAGGCUAAUGGAGCUGUUAAGUCUAAGUAUGACUGCCAAGAUGAAUCCAAAAAAGCCAAAGAGCCUGAGCAUGUCAGACCUUCCUGCAGCCUGCCACACACACUUAAAACCCCAGGGAAAUGAGUGCGGCUCAGGAGGGGGGAAGAGCGCCAACCAG
rnacentral:lncRNA from 12 species